rnacentral:tRNA from 1 species
GCCCGAGUGGCGGAAUCGGCAGACGCGUCGGACUCAAAAUCCGAUGCCGGCGACGGCGUGAGAGUUCGAGUCUCUCCUCGGGCA